GAUGAACGCUGGCGGCGUGCCUAAUACAUGCAAGUCGAGCGAACGGACGAGAAGCUUGCUUCUCUGAUGUUAGCGGCGGACAGGUGAGUAACACGUGGAUAACCUACCUAUAAGACUGGGAUAACUUCGGGGAACCGGAGCUAAUACCGGAUAAUAUUUUGAACCGCAUGGUUCAAAAGUAAAAGACGGUCUUGCUGUCACUUAUAGAUGGAUCCGCGCUGCAUUAGCUAGUUGGUAAGGUAACGGCUUACCAAGGCAACGAUGCAUAGCCGACCUGAGAGGGUGAUCGGCCACACUGGAACUGAGACACGGUCCAGACUCCUACGGGAGGCAGCAGUAGGGAAUCUUCCGCAAUGGGCGAAAGCCUGACGGAGCAACGCCGCGUGAGUGAUGAAGGUCUUCGGAUCGUAAAACUCUGUUAUUAGGGAAGAACAUAUGUGUAAGUAACUGUGCACAUCUUGACGGUACCUAAUCAGAAAGCCACGGCUAACUACGUG
rnacentral:rRNA from 1 species